GAUGAACGCUGGCGGCGUGCCUAAUACAUGCAAGUAGAACGCUGAAGGAGGAGCUUGCUUCUCUGGAUGAGUUGCGAACGGGUGAGUAACGCGUAGGUAACCUGCCUGGUAGUGGGGGAUAACUAUUGGAAACGAUAGCUAAUACCGCAUAAUAGCAGUUGUUGCAUGAUAACUGUUUGAAAGGUGCAAUUGCACCGCUACCAGAUGGACCUGCGUUGUAUUAGCUAGUUGGUGGGGUAACGGCUCACCAAGGCGACGAUACAUAGCCGACCUGAGAGGGUGAUCGGCCACACUGGGACUGAGACACGGCCCAGACUCCUACGGGAGGCAGCAGUAGGGAAUCUUCGGCAAUGGACGGAAGUCUGACCGAGCAACGCCGCGUGAGUGAAGAAGGUUUUCGGAUCGUAAAGCUCUGUUGUAAGAGAAGAACGAGUGUGAGAGUGGAAAGUUCACACUGUGACGGUAUCUUACCAGAAAGGGACGGCUAACUACGUG
rnacentral:rRNA from 1 species